rnacentral:rRNA from 1 species
CCGGAAUUACUGGGUGUAAAGGGAGAGUAGGCGGCAUGGUAAGUUAGAUGUGAAAGCCCGAGGCUUAACCUCGGGAUUGCAUUUAAAACUAUCAAGCUAGAGUACAGGAGAGGUAAGUGGAAUUCCUAGUGUAGCGGUGAAAUGCGUAGAUAUUAGGAAGAACACCAGUGGCGAAGGCGACUUACUGGACUGAAACUGACGCUGAGGCUCGAAAGCGUGGGGAGC